UUAGGAAUCUGCCUAUUAGUGGGGGACAACAUUCCGAAAGGAAUGCUAAUACCGCAUACGUCCUACGGGAGAAAGCAGGGGAUCUUCGGACCUUGCGCUAAUAGAUGAGCCUAAGUCGGAUUAGCUAGUUGGUGGGGUAAAGGCCUACCAAGGCGACGAUCUGUAGCGGGUCUGAGAGGAUGAUCCGCCACACUGGGACUGAGACACGGCCCAGACUCCUACGGGAGGCAGCAGUGGGGAAUAUUGGACAAUGGGGGGAACCCUGAUCCAGCCAUGCCGCGUGUGUGAAGAAGGCCUUAUGGUUGUAAAGCACUUUAAGCGAGGAGGAGGCUACUGAGACUAAUACUCUUGGAUAGUGGACGUUACUCGCAGAAUAAGCACCGGCUAACUCUGUGCCAGCAGCCGCGGUAAUACAGAGGGUGCGAGCGUUAAUCGGAUUUACUGGGCGUAAAGCGUGCGUAGGCGGCUUUUUAAGUCGGAUGUGAAAUCCCCGAGCUUAACUUGGGAAUUGCAUUCGAUACUGGGAAGCUAGAGUAUGGGAGAGGAUGGUAGAGUUCCAGGUGUAGCGGUGAAAUGCGUAGAGAUCUGGAGGAAUACCGAUGGCGAAGGCAGCCAUCUGGCCUAAUACUGACGCUGAGGUACGAAAGCAUGGGGAGCAAACAGGAUUAGAUACCCUGGUAGUCCAUGCCGUAAACGAUGUCUACUAGCCGUUGGGG
rnacentral:rRNA from 1 species